CUGCAAUGAUGAAGUAAUUAAUAGUUUCUGAAUCAAUGAUAUGUUGAUUCAAACCGAGCUUUUUAAAACUGAGCAGC